rnacentral:rRNA from 1 species
AAGAAAUAACAACUCGGGGCCUCACGGCUUACGAGAUUGCAAUGAGAACAAUUUAAAUCUCUUAGCGAGGAACAAUUGGAGGGCAAGUCUGGUGCCAGCAGCCGCGGUAAUUCCAGCUCCAAUAGCGUAUAUUAAAGUUGUUGCAGUUAAAAAGCUCGUAGUUGAAUUUCUGAUUAUGGAUGUAGCGGUUUCCGUUACAUUUGUAGUCAUCCACAUGAGAACCUUUCUCGGCCUUCACUGGUCGGUUGGGGGAUCAUGUACUUUACUUUGAAAAAAUCAGAGUGUUUCAGGCAGGCGUUUGCAUGAAUACACAAGCAUGGAAUAAUGGAAUAGGACUAGGGUCCAUUUUAUGGUUAUUGGACCAUAGUAAUGAUUAAUAGGGACAGUUGGGGGCAUUAGUAUUUAAUUGUCAGAGUGAAAUUCUUGGAUUUAUUAAAGACUAACUUAUGCGAAAGUCAAUUUGCCAAGGAUGUUUUCAUUAAUCAAGAACGAAGUUAGGGGAU